ACGGUUUGCGCGCGCAGCCGGGGGGCUACUCGAGGAUGUGGACUCGGAGGCUGCUGCAGAGGACGGAGACAGCCUUGCGCCUCCAGCGGUCCGUGGCGAUGCAGCCGUGCAGGGUGGAGCCCCCGCCUGAACUCUUGACCCCGCUGAGGGUCCCGGACAAGAUCCUGCUGGGCCCCGGGCCGUCCAACUGCUCGCCGCGCGUGCUGCACGCCCUGAGUCUGCCCGUGGUCGGUCACCUCCACCCCGAGUGCACACAGGUGAUGGACGAGGUGAAGGCGGGGCUGCGCUACGUCUUCCAGACGCGCAACGCGGCGACUCUGGCGGUGAGCGCGACGGGCCACGGCGGCAUGGAGAUGGCGCUGUGCAACCUGGUGGAGCCGGGCGACGUGGUGCUGGUGGUGGUGGGCGGCCUGUGGGGGCAGCGCGCCGCCGACAUGGCACGGCGCUACGGUGCCGACGUGCGGCUGUGCGAGAAGCUGCCGGGGCAGAACUUCAGCCUGCAGGAGCUGGAGGCGGAGGUGGCCCGCCACCGGCCCGCCGUGGUGUUCGCGAUCCAGGGGGACUCCUCCACGGGCGUGUACCAGCCGCUGCAAGGGGCCGGCCAGAUGUGCCACAGGUACGACAGCCUGCUGGUCGUGGAUACGGUGGCGUCCCUGUGCGGCGUGCCGUUCCUCAUGGACGAGUGGGAGAUAGACGUGGUCUACUCGGGCUCCCAGAAGGUGCUGGGGACCCCGCCGGGACUCGCACCCAUCUCCUUCAGCCCCCGGGCCGUGGCGAAGGUUGAGUCCCGGAAGAGCCCGCCGUCGGUUUUCUACUGGGACUUGAAGCUGCUGGGGAACUACUGGGCGUGUUUCGACGAACCUCGCAAGGGCGAGUGUGGCAUCGGGUCGCCGCCGGCUGGCGCAGGUACCACCACACGGCGUCCUCGAACCUGCUGUGCGCGCUGCGCGAGGGCCUGGCGCAGGUCGCCGAGGAGGGGCUGCAGGCGUGCGUGGAGCGGCACGGCCGCUGCUCGGCGCAGCUGUGGGAGGGGCUGGCGCGGCUCUGGCUGCAGCCGUUCGCCGAGGGCAGCGCGGCGCGCCUGCCCACCGUCAACGCCGUGCGGCUGCCCGAGGACGUCGACUUCCGCGCGAUGCAGGAGCACGCCGCCAGCAACUACUCCAUGGAGAUCGCCGCGGGGCUGGGGCCGACCGCCGGCAAGGCGUUCCGCGUGGGGCUGAUGGGGUACAACGCCACGCCCGGCCGUGUGGCGCUCGUGCUGCGCGUCAUCGAGGAGGGCCUGGAGCUCGCACGCAGCGCGCAGAUGCCCUCGCGCCUCUAGCAGCUGCAGCUGCACCUGGCAGCCCACUCAGUGCAGUGACGAGAACAGAGCCGUGCCUGGACUUCGCGGGGCCACAGUAUUUUGGAGCGGCCGUUCCAGGGGUCAUGGGAUAUCGAGUAGUCUCCAGAGAAAAAUAAAAUCUAUAAAAAAAAAAAGAUGGUUUUGCUUAUUCGUCUUGAGAACUCUAUACACCACAGGUAUGUCUGUAACAUAAGGGCUGGCAUGGGCCCUGCAGACACCCUCGCAUUCACGUAACUUCAGAACACACCCCGUUCCAAAACAAUUUUUAUGAACUUUUAAACUGAAAUUAACUGCCAUAAGUAAAGAAUAAUAUUGUAAAAGUUUAUUUGUUUGGUUGUAAAAAUAAUUUUGAAGGAUUAAUUUGGUUCUCCCUCGGCACGGUUUCACGACUGAUCUAACGGCCGUUCGGUUUGGUGCACAGACGCCUUCCCGCGGCCAGUGUGCAGUGCUCAGCCCGGUCUCUUGCGAUCACUGUCCGAGGUAGCGCGCUCAGUUCACCCUGAGGAAAUCAGACAUCAAACCUUUGAGGUGCCACGGUGCUUUUCUUCUUGUAUAUAGUCAAUGAUUUCCUUUCUGUUGAAACCAAAUCAGAUAGCACAGGUUCUGGAUUCAUCCAACUGUUCAUGUGUCACAUUUAAGUUAUACUUUAGCUAUUUUUUUUCUUUUACGUUGGUUUUCUUAUUGUUCUGGAGUAAGCAAAACAAAGCUAUUAAAAUAAAAAUAUUUUCGCAGUCCACGCAUAUGUAGUGCGUGGAUCCAGAGGGUGUUUGCCAUUGUGGGCAAGAUGCAUCAUAUUUUACUGUCGUUUCUUUACUUUGUGAUCUUGCAGCGGUUUAGGGGGGGAAAAGAGGCAACUCCAAUACCCAAAACACCUACAUAAUGUCAUCUGCCAUAGCCGGACCGAUCGUCUUCUUCCACAAACACCGUGUUCAUCAGAACAACUUUACACACGUGGUAGGGAAUUAUGAAACUGAUAUGGAAGAUUUCAAGGCAGAGGUGGCUUGUAGACUUCCUCUGAGUGUGCAUCUCUGGUCCACUGCGAACAAAUCACCAUAAGCCACAUCGGUGCGCCACAAAUUAACUGAAUAUCCACCAAGAGUCCUCGCGCUUGUUAUUUUUUAUCAUAAAUAAUUUGUCUGUUUUGUUUUUCACCUGGUGCUAGAUAAGGCAUUCUUCCAAGCACAUUAAUUUGUAUUUCAGUGCAAGAUUAGGACUGUAAAGUUGUAAACAAUGAGUAAAUGAAACAAUUUUAAAAUUGAAGGUUUUUGUUUUUAAUGUCCAGUAUUCUUCAAUACAUACAAGCCAGUAUUACUCAUAGCAUAAUACAUUAGGCACAUUACAGACUUGCUAAGCAUGAGCAUAAACAGUAUUUUGACAAUCCCACUCGACGUCUCACGUGAACGUUAUACAUUCCUGCGGGCAAAUGACUGCCCAACUCACGACGCAGCAAACAUGUUUAAACUUAAGAUCUUAUGUUAGUGACUACUGUAAUACUUAUACACUAUUAAAAAUAUGUAAUACACCACAUUACAAAUAAUUAAGUCAUAUAACAACUGCAUAAUGUACACAGGAUAAUGAGCCUCUCCAUUUUCAACUUUGUCCAUAGAUAUGAUGCUCAGUGACAUUAGUUUGUUCUCUACAAAUUACUUUCACCAAAGAAUUGUGCAAUUUCAAAUUUAAAAGUCACCAGCAGAUUAUAUGUUACUCAGCACAGGAGCAUAAACUUAUGCUAAAAUUAUUUAUAUUUUUUAUUACAAUGAAUAGUUAAAUUAUGAGUAAAAAAACCAUGAACACAUCCUUUAAUAUUAAGAACACAUUAUUUAUACUUUAUUAAAAUCAUAUUAAUAGUUGCUUAUCAACCUGACUUGGAAUUUAGCUUCAAGGUGUUAAAAAAAAAUUUUUUUUUGCUUGCGAAAAACACGGCAAUAAAUGUCACAUUGACAGAUAUUUCACCUAGAUUCUUUUGACGGCAGACUAUUCCAAGUUUACGUUUGUGGCUUGCAGCAGGCUGAACUCUGUGUGUGAUGAGCUGGAUCUUCACAUUGGUCGGAUUCUGCAACUGGACCACAGUUUAGAUGCAUUCCAGACGUCUCUUAGCAUCUUUGGAGGUGUUUCACACAUUCCAUUUACGCAUCAAAUCACAUCUAAUUCAAAAACUUGGUCAUCUUGUCGUUUAAGGGAUGUAAUGUUCAUUCAUUCAAGAUUUUUGUUUCCAACAAAUUAUAUAUUUUCUUGAAUGGAAUUUUCAUUAAUAUUUUAAAAUAAUUUUUGUACUUCUGAAGCAAGUCCAAAAACAUAAUCUUAUUUCACAUGUAUCAAAUAAAUGUAAAGUCAAUGGAUUAAAUUCAAAUGAUCAAAUUAAAAAAAAAAUGUUGCUGGUGUGAUAAUAUAUUAUAUCAAUGUGAACAGACUGAAUUCAACGGAUCAAAUGGGAAAAAAAAAUUGAAAAAAUUGACGAUGUAAAAGGUGUUUUGCAUGUCCUGCUCAGCCCUAGAUUCACUUCGGUGCCGCUAAUAUCCACGUGGGACUGACUUAUUGUUCUUUCUGUCCAGUGCGAAACCAAUCAGCCGACCAAUACCUCCGGCCUCGACAUUUCUAUAAGGCACAGCGCCAAAUAUUACAAUAACAAGACAGCAAGUGUUUCACAACGUUCACUCAUGGCAACUUGGCAGUCUUACGUAAUGUGUUGUUAGGGAAUGGAAAAAUUUUGUGAAUUAAGCAACCUUCUAAUCUCCUUCAUGCUCGAGAUAGUAAAUUUAUUUGCCACGAAGACAGUGUUGCUCUACAUCAGUUUGCUAAUGACUAAUUCCCUUGGUGUUGCAAGAUUUUUUUAUCAGGGUUGGCAUCUAUCAAAUGCACAUUCAUCAUCAUUGGCUGAUUUUGCUCUUUUAGUACAUUUAAGUUAUGUGUGCUACUGAUUACAACUUUUAAUUCUGGUAGUCACCACUGACUUUCUACAGUCUCUACAGUCUUGUCAUUUACGCCACAAUGAAUAUUUAAUGCUUGCGUUAUAAAAUAAAUUCAUAUAAAUGUGCGUGUGAUUGGAGUCAGCAAAUUAAUUCACAAAUUUCUCCCAAUAAUGACGAAAGACAUUACAUCAGUUUUAAGUUGAUUUUAAUAAAAUUUAAAUUUUAUAUUUUUCAUAUGAACCAAACUAAAAAAAAACUGUAUGAAAGUUGGUUUUAAUCAUUUUUUUUAUAUUUUAAAACUUUAAACUCGGCAAAUGUGGCAACAGUAACUUAAUUUGUAGAAAUUCCACAGGCAGCGCAUCAUUGUACACUAACAGGUACGUGGUGAGUAUUUAAAAAAAAAAACAAAAAAAAAAACAAUCAAAACAUUUACACAAACAUGCACAUGUAAAAUUUAAAAAAAAAAUUAUAUA